AUAAACAAAACAAAAACCAAAAACCAUCGAAAUAGUAGCAACAUGGGUUUAUGAAGCAAAUGGAAUGAGCCUUUAGCCCAAUGAAACCCAAAGGAGCAACCAAAAAGUGGAUUUCAGCCCCCCUCAUGCUCAAACUCGUGUGUUUAUCAUCUCUUUCUCCCUCAUGUCUCGUGCCGUCUACAACAAGCCUCUGCCGCGCCGGAGCUCAUCGUCGGUGGCGACGGAGAACAACAUGCCAACACCUUGUUUCUGACCGUCACAUCUUGCUCUACAUGAAUCCAACGACUAUUUUUCCAAAUCUCCACUCGAACAUACAAAUAGAUCUUUAAAUAGAACUCGGUACCUUUGAAGGAAACGUUCAGGGCCGUGUUCUGCUGCAUUUUUGGACUGAUAUGUGAAGCAACAGUCCCUUAUCUGUGAAUAAAAUGGUCCCCUAACUCUUUGUCUUGGAUGAUGUUUAGUUAUGGCUAUAAUACUUGGUCAUGGUGAAGAACAUAAACAAGGCUUGAAGCAGCAUCUUGUCACAAGGGAAGUUUGGUCUUGGAAGAAACUUACAUGCUUGUAAUUCCUUAGGUUUUAGGUUUGUAGUAUUGUAAUAACUUUGACAAGUCUUGUAAGAUUCAAUGUGGUUUUAUGUAACAAGGUUCUUGUAUGUCUUUUAGAAAUUAAACAUAACUUGUUUUUGAAGUAAUGAACUUGCUUUAUGAUGAAAUAAAAAUCAUGUUUAUUUA